rnacentral:rRNA from 1 species
CAGCAGCCGCGUAAUACAGAGGGUGCAAGCGUUAAUCGGAAUUACUGGGCGUAAAGCGCGCGUAGGUGGUUUGUUAAGUUGGAUGUGAAAUCCCCGGGCUCAACCUGGGAACUGCAUCCAAAACUGGCAAGCUAGAGUAUGGUAGAGGGUGGUGGAAUUUCCUGUGUAGCGGUGAAAUGCGUAGAUAUAGGAAGGAACACCAGUGGCGAAGGCGACCACCUGGACUGAUACUGACACUGAGGUGCGAAAGCGUGGGGAGCAAACAGGAUUAGAGACCCCGGUAGUCCCUGUCUCUUAUACA